UUCGGGUUGUAAAGCACUUUCAGUCGUGAGGAAGGURGURGUAGUUAAUAGCUGYAUUAUUUGACGUUAGCGACAGAAGAAGCACCGGCUAACUCCGUGCCAGCAGCCGCGGUAAUACGGAGGGUGCGAGCGUUAAUCGGAAUUACUGGGCGUAAAGCGCAUGCAGGUGGUUUGUUAAGUCAGAUGUGAAAGCCCGGGGCUCAACCUCGGAAUAGCAUUUGAAACUGGCAGACUAGAGUACUGUAGAGGGGGGUAGAAUUUCAGGUGUAGCGGUGAAAUGCGUAGAGAUCUGAAGGAAUACCGGUGGCGAAGGCGGCCCCCUGGACAGAUACUGACACUCAGAUGCGAAAGCGUGGGGAGCAAACAGGAUUAGAUACCCUGGUAGUCCACGCCGUAAACGAUGUCUACUUGGAGGUUGUGGCCUUGAGCCGUGGCUUUCGGAGCUAACGCGUUAAGUAGACCGCCUGGGGAGUACGGUCGCAAGAUUAAAACUCAAAUGAAUUGACGGGGGCCCGCACAAGCGGUGGAGCAUGUGGUUUAAUUCGAUGCAACGCGAAGAACCUUACCUACUCUUGACAUCCAGAGAACUUUCCAGAGAUGGAUUGGUGCCUUCGGGAACUCUGAGACAGGUGCUGCAUGGCUGUCGUCAGCUCGUGUUGUGAAAUGUUGGGUUAAGUCCCGCAACGAGCGCAACCCUUAUCCUUGUUUGCCAGCACUUCGGGUGGGAACUCCAGGGAGACUGCCGGUGAUAAACCGGAGGAAGGUGGGGACGACGUCAAGUCAUCAUGGCCCUUACGAGUAGGGCUACACACGUGCUACAAUGGCGCAUACAGAGGGCRGCCAACUUGCGAGAGUGAGCGAAUCCCAAAAAGUGCGUCGUAGUCCGGAUCGGAGUCUGCAACUCGACUCCGUGAAGUCGGAAUCGCUAGUAAUCGUGGAUCAGAAUGCCACGGUGAAUACGUUCCCGGGCCUUGUACACACCGCCCGUCACACCAUGGGAGUGGGCUGCAAAAGAAGUAGGUAGUUU
rnacentral:rRNA from 1 species